rnacentral:rRNA from 1 species
GACGAACGCUGGCGGCGUGCUUAACACAUGCAAGUCGAACGGAGUGGCGAACGUGUGAGUAACACGUGGGUGACCUGCCCUGCACUUCGGGAUAAGCCUGGGAAACUGGGUCUAAUACCGGAUAGUGUGGGAUGGGCCCGCGGCCUAUCAGCUUGUUGGGGGGGUAAUGGCCUACCAAGGCGGCGACGGAUAGCCGGCCUGAGAGGGUGGACGGCCACAAUGGGACUGAGGCACGGCCCAGAGUCCUACGGGAGGCAGCGGGGGGGAGUAUUGCACAGUGGGGGGGAGCCUGAUGCAGGGACGCCGGGUGGGGGAUGACGGCCUUCGGGUUGGAAACUCCUUUCACCAGAGACGCGGUAGAUGGAGAAGAAGCACCGGCUAACUACGUGCCAGCAGCCGCGGUAAUUC